AACGAACGCUGGCGGCAGGCUUAACACAUGCAAGUCGAGCGCCCCGCAAGGGGAGCGGCAGACGGGUGAGUAACGCGUGGGAAUCUACCCAUCUCUACGGAAUAACGCAUGGAAACGUGUGCUAAUACCGUAUACGUCCUUCGGGAGAAAGAUUUAUCGGAGAUGGAUGGGUCCGCGUUGGAUUAGCUAGUUGGUGGGGUAAAGGCCUACCAAGGCGAGGAUCCAUAGCUGGUCUGAGAGGAUGAUCAGCCACACUGGGACUGAGACACGGCCCAGACUCCUACGGGAGGCAGCAGUGGGGAAUAUUGGACAAUGGGCGCAAGCCUGAUCCAGCCAUGCCGCGUGAGUGAUGAAGGCCCUAGGGUUGUAAAGCUCUUUCACCGGUGAAGAUAAUGACGGUAACCGGAGAAGAAGCCCCGGCUAACUUCGUGCCAGCCGCCGCCGUAAGAC
rnacentral:rRNA from 1 species